UAAUACGUAGGGUGCGAGCGUUAAUCGGAAUUACUGGGCGUAAAGCGUGCGCAGGCGGUUUUGUAAGCCAGAUGUGAAAUCCCCGGGCUCAACCUGGGAAUGGCAUUUGGGACUGCAAGGCUCGAGUGCGGCAGAGGAGACUGGAAUUCCUGGUGUAGCAGUGAAACGCGUAGAUAUCAGGAGGAAUACCGAUGGCGAAGGCAGGUCUCUGGGCUGACACUGACGCUCAUGCACGAAAGCGUGGGGAGCAAACAGGAUUAGAUACCCUGGUAGUCCACGCCCUAAACGAUGUCGACUGGUUGUUGGGGGUUUGACACUCUCAGUAACGAAGCUAACGCGUGAAGUCGACCGCCUGGGGAGUACGGCCGCAAGGUU
rnacentral:rRNA from 1 species